ACCAAACAAUCUGGCUAUUCCUUCAAUCUGCAGCUCUAUCUAGACGAAAACAGCAGAAAAGGGUAUUUUUGAUACAAAUAUAUAUUUUAAAAAAGUCUCUAAAUGGCCAAGGAAAGUCAUAGAUUGGUCUUAACGGUCUUGCCUAAACAUAAUUUCCAGCUACAGAAGUCGCACUAACAGUGUAAAAAAAAGGGGGGUUGUUUUUGUAAACACAGCAGACAUUCAAAUGAGAUAUAAAUAAUUUUGGUAAAAAAAAUUGCAAUAAUUGAUAAAGAUCGGCUGUUUACAUCUUGAAAUUGUCUCUUUUUUUUUUAAAAGGUUGGAAAAGACCAAAGUCCAGAUUCUUAUCAAACUCAAAUCAAUUUGUUUAGAGGAAUUACUCCAGUAUUGGACACUAUUGUAUAAAAAAUGUUCAAAAUUACAGUAAAAAAUAUAACCACAUUGUGCGAUAAAAAUAAAAUAAAUCUUAUACUUAAUACAUCUUAUACAUGUUAUACGGCACUAAAAUUAUCUUCCUCUUUCGUAACAAAUUGUUAAAAUGCAAAAGUAAUCUAUUGCAAUAGAUUUCAUUAUACACAGUGGCGGAUUCAGCGGGGGGCGUAGAGGGCGUACGCCCCCCCCCCCCUUUUGCUUGACGUUUUUUUUUUUUUUUUUUGUAAAAUAAUUAAUUAGACUAGACUUCAUGAAACUUUCCAUUUCCUGUGUAUUAUGUUUUUAAGCGACAAUUCUUUGGUUACAAAUGUAUAUUUUGCACGUAUUUACUGUAUUAUAUUAUUGGUUAUGUAAAAGUUAUGUGAUUUGCUACGAGUUAACCAGUGCAUCGAAAAAACGUCAACUCAGUCAUUUUGAAAUUCAAAUAACAGUAACACAUUGCUUUGGCUGAGGGUGACAAGUAUGACACCUUCAAAGCGACAAAGAAUUGAGCAAGAACGUAGUGACUUCUAUUUCACAAUUCCACAAACAGAAAGUAAUACUCUAUUAUACUCUCAUAAAAAAAAGUUUCACAGCAAUAUUAUUUACCUAUCAAAACAUGUUAACCCCACACGCCUCAGCUUAUUAAUAACUGUUACAUAGCUGAAUAAUGAUCCCCAAUCAGCAAGCUCUAUAUAGAUUUAAAGUCUAAGGUAUGGCAGUUAGAUUUGAGGGGGAAGUCUGAGAUGUUUGAGAGAAGAAAAAUUACCCUGAUUUUUGCCUUAAACAUGUUAAUCAUGUUAAACAUAAAUUCUGGUCGUAUUUGGAAUGAAAACAAUAAGCUUGUCCACUUAUUUGCUAUUAGAAACAAAAUUUCCAACAAAAUUAUUUGGCCUUUAUGUCUCAAUUUGUCAUUCAUAAAUUCGUAGUCUUUUCAGACUCAUUUGUAGUUUUUGGUUGAAUUAGAACCUCACUUUCCUUGUUUUGUGAAACAUUUCAACCAAACAUUUUGAUAAAAUUUCUUGUUUGUCUUUCUUAAAUAGUGUCGGUCGUAUUGUAAAUUUCAUUGAAUAUAUAUAUAGCCCGGCGUUUAUCUUGUUUACAACAAGAUAUCUGUGAGGUUAUACCAACUAAACAUACAACAAACAAGAAUUUUCCAUGCCCAUAUUUUACUGACAAGUCUGACAUCAAAUAUAUUAGUCCAUAUCAUUACAUAAUAGAUAGUUUAUGUGGAGAAUACGGCAUAAAAAAUGUUUUAAGCUCGUACACUUUAACAGCAACUAUAGAAUAACAACAACAACAACAACAAUACAUUAUUAAGAGGGUUACACAGUAGCUAUAUAAACUAAUCUUCCCUGAGGACCCCUCAUCAUGGAGAAAUCAAACAAAAUGCAUAACAUUUACAUUGCUAACAUUAGUAUAAAAAGUCAAGUAUAGGUAAUAAUUUCUCAAUACAACUUGAUUAAAAAUGUGAUGAAAAAAAUAAACAUGAUGACAAUGUAUCAGUUUUUAAUAUUAUUGAUAAUAGCUAGAUUGAUUUCAAUAAAUGAUCUGUUUAUUUGUAUUUGAAAGAAUAACAUUUGUAUAUGCUUAACGGUAUGAAAUUAUUCCACUAAGAAUGGUCCAGAAAUACAUAAAGAUUUUUUGAACAACCUUCGUUUUUGUUUAGAGUAUGAGGUUUCCUUGAACAGCAUUUCUCAAGGGGUAUGAUUUCUGUCUUGAAACAUAAUGAAACUGUUAGUAAGAUAUGAUGGGGGCAUCAUUUUUAAUGCACUUAAAUGUCAAUCACUUAACUAUGAUAUUUUAUUCUCUGUUCAACUGUACAUCCAGUUUAAAUGUUUGAAUUGAAGGGUUUGCAGAAGGAGCGAAUGAGUCUGUUUCUAGUAUUAAUCUAGCAAGCCCUCUUUUUUAUUUUAAUAAUCCUUUUUUAAACCCUCACUGCUACAACUACUCCACACUAUACAACAUUAAUCAAUUUCAGUGGCAAGAUAUAACCAUGAUAUAGAAUAAUUUUCUGCAGUCUAGAUUUAGAAAUUUUUUAAUCUUUAAUAGUUACGAUAUAGAUCUAGAUGAUAUUUUUGACAGAUCACUCAAUCUGGUUUGUCCAUGUAGAAAGGUCAAUUUUAAUGCCUUAAAAAGACUUCACAUGUGAAGAUUGUCAGUCAGCUGAUGUACAUACGUUAAACAACUUCUCAAUUAGUAAUGUGGCAUUGCUCUUUGCUUCGUUCAAUAAUCAUAUUAUUUUGUUUUAUUUUUAUUGAUGAACAAUUGUUAUCAUUGCACCAUUCCCUACACCAUGUAAAUCGUCUUGUACCUUGACGUAGAGUUUGAUAACAAAUAACCAGAAAGAAUGUAAAGUUGAAUCACGCAUCAUAAAUCCAGCUGCAACCAAUUUUGCAAAAAUAGGAGAUCGUUUAUGUGAUAAUAUUAAAACAGAAGGGCCUAAUAGAGCCUUGGGCGGGGACACAUAAUUGAUAAUAAGUUUUUCAGAAUGAGCAUUACCAAUUUGUACUUGUUUGAGUUCUUUCAUUCAAAUAAUUGAUUUAAAAAAAAGAAACAGCAGUAUUAUCCAAAUCCAUUAAAUUUCAAGUUUUUUAAAGAAUAUCAGUGAUUUACUACAUCAAAAGCUUUCUAUAAAAUCCAACAGGACGUGCUUAAGUUGAUAUUACCAUCAUUCAUUGCCGUAUCAUUAUCUAUGAUAUUGAGAAAGGCAGUUGGCAAGAUGGUUCUUGUCGAAACCCAGGACUGUGCUGGGUAGUAAAAGAUUCUAAUACUUUUUAGGUGUUCAACAAAUGAUUUGAAACAUGCUUUUUCUAAAAGUUUUGAUAAAACGGAAAGUACAUGCCCAAAGUCAGGAACCAUUUAAAAAGUGCAUUUUACACUUAUUUUAUGGUUUUUUAGCCUAAAAAAGGUCCCAAAACAUUAUUUAUUUCGCCCCCCCCCUCUUUCCAAAAUCCUUGAUCCGCCCCUGAUACCUUUAAUCUUUUAUUCACAUAUAUAUAUAUACUAAAGUAAUUGUUUGUAUUUUACUACCAUGUAUUCGAAUUGUUUAUCCAUCUGGUCAUUACCAUUUAUUGUAAAUGCGUUUGUACCAAUAAAAUAUUGUCUAUUGUCUAUUGUCUGUUAACAGUGGCCGUCAGUUGGUCUGAUUGGGGUCUAAGCGUGAUGCAGGAUUACUGAUUUUUUGUAAGCUUGACACGUGAAAGUCAAAUUAUUGUGUCGUGAAAACGUGAAAUGAGGUCUAGCGGGACCAGGGAAAUGACAAAAAGUGAGAAUUGCUUACGUACAUAGUGUAAGCGGGAUACAGGAAUCUGACAAAACAGUAAGCGGGAUCCGGGAUCGUAACCCCCCAAUGAGACCCCCUUAACAAAUUAUGUAUUAGACUAGUCCAAGUAAUUAUGAUGUCUGGGAAGGCUAUUCUUUUUUUCUAGGAAGUCUUCCUCCCAGAAAAAAAAUAAAAUAGGCUUGCCAGAUGUCAUAAUUAUUUGGACUAGUCUUUGACAAGGUUGAAAAUAAUUAAGUGAGGUUCAUUCUUUUACAGAGUUAUGCCCUUUUAAAAUAUUAAUUAUAUGGAAUAUUGCUCUAAUGUACACAGAUUUUUAUGAAAUUUAUAUUACCGGUUUACAUCAUCAAUGUCUUUUGACAAGUAUAUAAAACACUGUGCUGUCAAUUAUUCUUAAAAGAGUAAGGUCACUUGUGUACAAUAUUAUUGAUAGAAUUUUACAAUCUUUAUCUAUAUUUUAUAACUUCUACCAAUCUAGGCACACCUCCAGAGUCCUGUCUCUUUGUAAAUAUAUUAGUUUUCAACAAGUAAAGUGAACACAUUUUUGUCGAGCCUGCAACUUUUGUUGCAGAAAGCUCGACAUAGGGAUAGUGAUCUGGCGGCUACAGCGUCGGCUACUGCGGCGCGUUAGCUAACUACUUAAAAGGUUUAUAUUUUAGAAGGUGAAAGACCUGGAUGCUUCAUACUUUGUAUAUAGAUGCCUCAUGUUACGAAGUUUCCGUCAGCACAUGCUCCAAUGUCUUGACCUCAUUUUCAUCGUUCAUGACCAUUGAAAACAAAAAGUCAGGAAUUUUUGUAAUGUUGAAUUCUCUUUAUUAUAAGGAAUAGGAUAACUAAUAUUGGUAUAUCGCCUACCUUGCCAAGGUCUCAUGCCCGUCAACAGUUUCUCACUUGACCUCGAACUCAUUUCAUGGAUCAGUGACAAGGUUAAGUUUGUUGGUCAAGUCCAAUAUCUCAGAAACUAAUAAGCAAUAGGGCUUAGUUAUAUUGGUAUGGAAGACUGGAACGGUCUGUACAUGUUCCAACUGGCAGUGUAUCUGGACUUGACUCAUUUUCAGUAUGGUUCAGUUUGUUAUAGUUAAGUUUUUGUGUUUUGGUCUGUUUUUCUCAUACUUUAUGCAAUAGGUCCACUAUAUUUGUUGUAUGGAAUGAUUGUAAGGUGUACAUGUCUAGCGGGCAGAUGUCAUCUGACCUUGACCUCAUUUUCAUGGUUCAGUGGUCAAAGUUAAGUUUAUAAGUUUUGGUCUUUUUAUCUAAUAUUAUAUGCCAAAGGUCAACUAUAUUUGGUGUAUGGAAAUAUAUUAUGAUUUAUAUGUCAGUCCUGCAGGUUUUAUUUGACCAUGACCUCAAUUGCACGGAGUUCAUUUGCACAGUGUUUAAUUUUUUUGUUUUGGUCGUAUCUUUUCUCAAACUAUAAGAUAAAUAGCGUCAACUAUAUUUGUUGUUAUGGAAGCUUUUUAGCUUGUACUGUCUGCCUGGCAUGGUUCAUCUGACUUGACCUCAUUUUCAUGUUCAUUUGUCUUUGUUAGCAUCUUGGUUCAAUGUUAAGUUUUAUGUGACAGUUGUAAUAAAGCUUUAUACUUUACUAGCCAGGGGGGACUCUGCUUAACCAUAAUAUCAAUGCAUUAGUAAGAAAGUCGACAGACAUUUCUCCGUGUGUGCACUCUUGUUUUAAUUAGGAUAGAGCCAAGGCAGUCCACAGCUUUUUUAAAAGCUCAAACUUGUCAUGCUUGUAUAAAAUCAUGUUACUUUUUUUAAAGGUUAAUUAUAUGUAGAGAAUUAUUUUACAGAUAUUAGAGAACAAGCAAGCAGUUAUUUUAAAGAAUGAAACUGGAACAUUGAAUUCCUUUCUUGGAAGGAGAAGAAAUAUAAAGAUGUUAUAAGACUGAUGUAACUAUGGACAGUAGUGAUCCAGUCACCAAUAUCACAGAUAUCACAGG
rnacentral:lncRNA from 1 species